rnacentral:rRNA from 1 species
AGCGAACGCUGGCGGCAGGCUUAACACAUGCAAGUCGAACGGGCGUAGCAAUACGUCAGUGGCAGACGGGUGAGUAACGCGUGGGAACGUACCUUUUGGUUCGGAACAACCCAGGGAAACUUGGGCUAAUACCGGAUAAGCCCUUACGGGGAAAGAUUUAUCGCCGAAAGAUCGGCCCGCGUCUGAUUAGCUAGUUGGUGUGGUAACGGCGCACCAAGGCGACGAUCAGUAGCUGGUCUGAGAGGAUGAUCAGCCACAUUGGGACUGAGACACGGCCCAAACUCCUACGGGAGGCAGCAGUGGGGAAUAUUGGACAAUGGGCGCAAGCCUGAUCCAGCCAUGCCGCGUGAGUGAUGAAGGCCCUAGGGUUGUAAAG